AGAGUUUGAUUAUGGCUCAGGAUGAACGCUGGCGGCGUGCUUAACACAUGCAAGUCGAACGGGCUCAUAUUGAAACCUAGUGAUGUAUGAGUUAGUGGCGGACGGGUGAGUAACGCGUGGAGAACCUGCCGUAUACUGGGGGAUAACACUUAGAAAUAGGUGCUAAUACCGCAUAAGCGCACAGCUUCGCAUGAAGCAGUGUGAAAAACUCCGGUGGUAUACGAUGGAUCCGCGUCUGAUUAGCUGGUUGGCGGGGUAACAGCCCACCAAGGCGACGAUCAGUAGCCGGCCUGAGAGGGUGAACGGCCACAUUGGGACUGAGACACGGCCCAAACUCCUACGGGAGGCAGCAGUGGGGAAUAUUGCACAAUGGGGGAAACCCUGAUGCAGCGACGCCGCGUGAGUGAAGAAGUAUUUCGGUAUGUAAAGCUCUAUCAGCAGGGAAGAAAAUGACGGUACCUGACUAAGAAGCCCCGGCUAACUACGUGCCAGCAGCCGCGGUAAUACGUAGGGGGCAAGCGUUAUCCGGAUUUACUGGGUGUAAAGGGAGCGUAGACGGCAGCGCAAGUCUGAAGUGAAAUCCCAUGGCUUAACCAUGGAACUGCUUUGGAAACUGUGCAGCUGGAGUGCAGGAGAGGUAAGCGGAAUUCCUAGUGUAGCGGU
rnacentral:rRNA from 1 species